GGCUGCCUCUUAAAGAUUUCCUGUCUCCUUGUUCUCAAUCAUGUCCCCAGUCAACCAACAUGAAGAGCAAGUGUAUUAGUCAGAGUUUUCCAGAGUGAAAGAACUUAUAGAAUGACUCUUUAUAGAUAUACAAAAGGGAUUCAUUUCCAAGUAAAAGAACUUUUAGGAUGGCUACAUUUAUGUAUAUGGGAUUCUUAUAGGCUAUGGUCUAACUAAGCCAACAAUGGUUGGCUAUGAAUAGAAAGUGUGAGAAUCCAGUGGUUGCUGUUUCAGCCGGUUUUCUAUAUAGGCUGGAAUCCCGAAGAAUCAGGCUCUAAUACUGGUGAAGGAAUGGACUUGCUAUCAAGGUGGAAGCAAGCAUGCAACGAGCAAAGGCUUCCUCUUUCCAUGUCCUUAUACAGGCUUCCAGCAGAAGGUGUGGCCCAGAUUAGAGAAGGUUUUCCCAGUUAUAUUAUCUGGAUGAAAGAUUUGCCUCACACGGAGAGAAGACUAUGAUAAAUGCACAGUUGUCUUAUGGCAGCAUGGAAAACUCGAGAACUAAAGAAAGACAGCAAUACCCUGAGAAACUUGAUGUCACACACCCUGAAAUGUAUUCUUGGGCAGAAAUUGAGGAAAAAACUUUGAAUGAGGUGAAUUAAUCUUUGGUAAAAUCUCAUCCUUUGACUUUAUUUCACCAAUAUAACCUGUAACACUCCCUCCAUUUGACACAUAUAGUUGUGUUUUGCCUAUGGACAGGGACACAACCUGAGAAAUGUGGUCUUUGAACUUUCACUUGAGAAACACUACAGUCCUGUGCUCACACAAACUCUAUGCUUGCACAAUCCCUGUACUCUACCACAGCACUAUGUCCAGCAGUCUGGUGGGACCACUGUGUACAUGUGCCACAUGAGGGACAAGAGCAUUCUGUGGCACGUGACUUUUAUUUAGACUUGAAAUGUCAGGUCAUCCUAAAAGAAAUUGAUUUUUGUUUGUUGUAAAUCUUGGCUUAUAGUGGAUGCUCAUCGUAUAUUUUCUGGAUGAUGGUGUGCAAGGUAAGCCAAGGGCAACCUGUAGUGGCAUCUUGCCUGUGAACCUGCAUAGGUGACCACAUCCCUUUAGGCUUGGCUUCAGGCUAACAGAAGUGGAAAGAGGAAAGCGUGAGACGCGGUCUCUCUCGUGGGCUCUUUCUCUUGGGUCAGGGGAUCUGAUUGGAAGGACAAAGAAAUGUUCCCCUGUUCUUUAUUAUUAUUAUCUGUGAAAGUGUCCCCCAAUAAACACCCAUGUAUCAUUUAUCUUGGGUCUAGUGAAAUCAUUACACCCUGGCCUUCAGCAACACCUAGGAUAAAUGUCAGUUUAGGCAUUUUUAUGCUAAAACACAGGCUUACUUAGCUUUGGAAUUAUAAUGAUGUUAGUUAAAUGUUUUGUAAUAUAAUGUUAAUUCCUCUGCCUACAUGAAAGAACUUCUUUUAUUCCUUGAUAAAUUCAGCUGUCACUCAAGAAAUUAGAAUCUUCCUGUUGCUGUCAAGAGACACCAUGAUCAUGGCAAUUCUGAUAAAGGAACAAUUUUAAUUGGGGUAGUUUACAUUUUCAGAAGUUUAAUCCAUUAUCAUCAUGGUGGGACAUGGCAGCAGGCAGGCAGAGAAGGUGAUGGAGAAGAAGCUGAGAGUCCUAUGUCUUGCAGGCAACAGGAAGUGGUCUGAGUCACUGGCCAGUAUCUUGAGCAUAUAUGAGAACUCAGAGACCAACUCCACAGUGACAUACAUCCUCCAAUAAGAUCAUACCUGCUCUGCCAAGACCAGACCUCCUAGUAGUGCCACUCCAUUUGGAGGCCAUUUUCUUUCAAACCACCACAUUCCACCUCCUGGCUCCAAAGACUUGUAGUCAUAUCAUAAUGCAAAAAUGCAUUCAGUUCAACAUCAAAGUCCGCAUAGUUUAUAACAGUCUCAAACUUACUUAAAAGUGUAAGGUUCAAAGUCUCUUCUGAGAUUCAUGCAAUCUCUUAACUGUAAUCCCUUGUAAAAAUAAAAAUAAAAACAUGUCCAUUUGUUACA